AUGACUUGUAGAGAAUAUUCCCUCUAAGGAGGAGGAAGCUCCACCCACCAUUUAAAGGCAUGAAAGCAGAGAUGCUUGGAGUCAGAAACAGAAACGAUAUUGGCUAGAAGUUGAUUUCAUGAUACUUCUUUAACUUCGCAAAAAGCGAAGGGCCAAGUGAAACGGUCUGACUCAUAUGCUCGGUGCAAGCCUUAAGGCGCUUAGAUAAAUUAUUCAUUACCAUCUAAUGAUUCCUCUUUGAGAGGAUGAAUGGUAUAACAAAAGGUGGACUACUACAAGUCAU
rnacentral:RNase_P_RNA from 1 species